UACCUCCGCAAACUCAGGAUGAAGCGUACUGCUCACCAAGGACCAGGCAUCCUCCUAAACAAUUUAAGUUAUGAACUCAUUUACUCUUCACUAGAGCCCCCUAGUGCCAGCUUCAUUGCUCUGUGUUCUACAGAGGAGGACACCAGUGGCUCGGAGAAAUCACACACGCUGGAGACAGUCACAAAACUUGCAGAUUUACACCCAUCCUCCUCUCCCUGCCCAGGCCCUUUGCCCGCCUGGGUUAAUGAGAAACAGAAGUCAAUGGACUUGUAAACGAACUUAGAAGGUUGAAAAGUUCCCCAGGACCAGUUGGAUGACUCAGACAUGAAGAGCUCUUGCUGCUUUUGCAGAGGACCCAGGUUUGAUUCCGAGCACUUACAUGGUGGUCCGUGACUCCAGUUCCCCAGUACCUGACACCUCUUCUGACCUCUGUAUGCAUCAGGCACAUACACGGUGGAUAUACACACAUAUAGACAAAACAUUC